rnacentral:rRNA from 1 species
CCUACGGGUGGCAGCAGUGAGGAAUAUUGGUCAAUGGCCGGAAGGCUGAACCAGCCACGCCGCGUGAGGGAGGACGGCGCAGAGCGUCGCAGACCUCUUUUGCCGGGGGACAAAAGGCCGGACUCGUCCGGUCCUGAGGGUACCCGGCGAAAAAGCAUCGGCUAACUCCGUGCCAGCAGCCGCGGUAAUACGGGGGAUGCGAGGGUUAUCCGGAUUCAUUGGGUUUAAGGGGUGCGAGGGGGGGCCUUAAAGCCGGCGGUGAAAUUGCGGGGCUCAACCCCGCCGGGCCGUCGGAACUGGGGGCCUUGAGUGCGGCGGAGGCAUGCGGAAUGCGCGGUGUAGCGGUGAAAUGCAUAGAUAUCACGCAGAACCCCGAUGGCGAAGGCAGCGUACCGUGCCGCCACUGACGCUGAGGCACGAAAGCGCGGGGAGCAAACAGGAUUAGAUACCCUUGUAGUC